rnacentral:rRNA from 1 species
AGUGAACGCUGGCGGUAGGCCUAACACAUGCAAGUCGAACGGCAGCACAGUAAGAGCUUGCUCUUACGGGUGGCGAGUGGCGGACGGGUGAGGAAUACAUCGGAAUCUACUUUUUCGUGGGGGAUAACGUAGGGAAACUUACGCUAAUACCGCAUACGACCUACGGGUGAAAGCAGGGGAUCUUCGGACCUUGCGCGAUUGAAUGAGCCGAUGUCGGAUUAGCUAGUUGGCGGGGUAAAGGCCCACCAAGGCGACGAUCCGUAGCUGGUCUGAGAGGAUGAUCAGCCACACUAGAACUGAGACACGGUCCAGACUCCUACGAGAGGCAGCAGUGGGGAAUAUUGGACAAUGGGCGCAAGCCUGAUCCAGCCAUACCGCGUGGGUGAAGAAGGCCUUCGGGUUGUAAAGCCCUUUUGUUGGGAAAGAAAAGCAGCAGGUUAAUACCCCGCUGUUCUGACGGUACCCAAAUAAUAAGCACCGGCUAACUUCGUG